rnacentral:rRNA from 1 species
UACGGAGGGAGCUAGCGUUGUUCGGAAUUACUGGGCGUAAAGCGCACGUAGGCGGAUAUUUAAGUCAGGGGUGAAAUCCCAGAGCUCAACUCUGGAACUGCCUUUGAUACUGGGUAUCUCGAGUAUGGAAGAGGUGAGUGGAAUUCCGAGUGUAGAGGUGAAAUUCGUAGAUAUUCGGAGGAACACCAGUGGCGAAGGCGGCUCACUGGUCCAUUACUGACGCUGAGGUGCGAAAGCGUGGGGAGCAAACAGG